rnacentral:rRNA from 1 species
CGGAGGGAUCAUUAAAGAGUUCUAUAACUCCCAAACCCAUGUGAACAUACCUAGCGUUGCCUCGGCAGGUCGCACCUACCUUGUAGCACCCUACCCUGUAGGGCCUACCCGGGAGGUGCGGGUAAGCCUGCCGGCGGCCCACCAAACUCUGUUUGAUAUUGAAUUCUGAACCUAUAACUAAAUAAGUUAAAACUUUCAACAACGGAUCUCUUGGUUCUGGCAUCGAUGAAGAACGCAGCGAAAUGCGAUAAGUAAUGUGAAUUGCAGAAUUCAGUGAAUCAUCGAAUCUUUGAACGCAUAUUGCGCCCAUUAGUAUUCUAGUGGGCAGGACCGUUCGAGCGUCAUUUCAACCCUUAAGCCUUCGUUGCUUAGUGUUGGGAGCCUACGGCAACGUAGCUCCUCAAAGUUAGUGGCGGAGUUAGUUCACACUCUAGACGUAGUAAUUUUUUAUCUCGCCUAUUAGUUGGACUAAUCCCCUGCCGUAAAACCCCCAAUUUAUCAAGGUUGACCUCGAAUCGGUUCAGACAAACUCGCUAAAUUGAAGCAUCUUAGUCAGCGAAGGAAAAGAAACCAACAGGGAUUGCCCUAGUAACGGCGAGUGAAGCGGCAACAGCUCAAAUUUGAAAUCUGGCCCUCGGGUCCG